UGGAAUAUUAGUUUCAGUUGUUGUUUUCAGAGUUGUAUUUUAUGUAGAUGGUAGGAGUUGCCACAUGCUAUGGCCAUAUUGAAUUUUCUAUCUUAAGAGAAAAUUAGGAAAAUUGUCAAGGCCAAACGAGAAAAGUCCAUUGACCCUUUUUCUUGUACAUUUGUAUUUGUGUGUAAUCUGUUAGUUAUUAUGUUGAACACCGGUACAUGUUUUUUAUAUGUGCUUUUUGUUAGUAUUUGUUUAUUGCUUAAGGUUUUAUUUAAGUUUAACUUCAAAAAUGAAAACGAGAGCAGAUUUAUUCUUAAAGUGACAGAGUUGAAAGAAAGUUUAUAAAAGAAAAUUAAUAUUGGUUAGAAAUUUUGUUCGUGAAACACAAAAUAAUAUUAUUAAGUUUUGUGUAAAAGUUAAACAAUAUUACAAUUUUUAACAGAUCGGAAACAAUAAAAAGGAAAUAAAUCUAUUUGGAAAGAAAAAGAAAAUUUUUGAUGGUACAAUUCUGGAGGCUAACCCAUAUCCAUACUGAGGGAAAAACAGAUAGAUGUUCUAACUUAUUGGCAUCAUCAGAAGAAAUUUAUGAAAUUUUGCUAGUAACACCAUCUGGAUAGAACUUCCUAAAGUAUGAAAACGGAAGAGCUUUCCCUCAAUUUAAAAGCUUGAUUAAAAUUUGUAUCGGAACUAGGGUAGCCGUAUCUAAGAUUUGAACCACAUUAUAUUUCUGCAGCUUUAAUUUAAAAGUUCUUAUAAGGAAAACUAAUUUAUGAAAUAAACUGUUCUCAGUGGCUAUAGGGAUUAGGGUAGAAUAAGAAUUUAGUUUAAGUUUAUGAUUUAAUGCAAAUUAGUAUAAGGCUUGU